rnacentral:lncRNA from 1 species
GGCCCCCUCUUUGGCAGCUAAUUCCUAAACUGUUGGGAUCUCAACUCCCAAAAUCAAUCCCAACCUUCCUUUUGUGUUGAUAAACCUUGUGUUUAAAUUUCAUUGAUUUCUAUUUACUUAUACUAAAGUUAUUGUGUGAAAACCAAGAAUAAUGCUUAUUUGGGCCCUUUUUUGGCCCCUAAUUCCUAAACAGUUGGAACCAAAAC